rnacentral:rRNA from 1 species
UACGAAGGGGGCUAGCGUUGCUCGGAAUCACUGGGCGUAAAGGGUGCGUAGGCGGGUCUUUAAGUCAGGGGUGAAAUCCUGGGGCUCAACUCCAGAACUGCCUUUGAUACUGAGGAUCUUGAGUCCGGGAGAGGUGAGUGGAACUGCGAGUGUAGAGGUGAAAUUCGUAGAUAUUCGCAAGAACACCAGUGGCGAAGGCGGCUCACUGGCCCGGUACUGACGCUGAGGUGCGAAAGCGUGGGGAGCAAACAGG